UGAAAAAAGUAGAAGAUAAAAAAGGUGAUGAGUUGAAAGAAAUAGAAGAGGAUAAGAAAGAUGAUCAUAUAUCUGAGAAUGAUAAAAUGGAUGAAGACACUGAGGUUAAGGAAACAAUUGAAGGUAAACAAGAAAAUGAAAAAGUGCAAGCUGAGAAACCAGAAGUAGAUGCUAUGGAAGUAGAGGGUGGCAUUCAGGAGGAGGAGAGUGAUGAAAAGGAGAAAAAAGAUGUGGCGAUGGAGGAGGAUGAAGAUGAGGAUAAGGACAAUAUUGAUAAGUCAAAAGAAGAAGAGAAGACAGAAGAUAGUAAGGGUAAGAAAGGAUCAAAAAAACGUGGGAGAGGGAAAAUCGAUGGGGAGAAAGUGAAAGAAAAAAGAAAGGAACCAAAGAAAACAGAGCCAAGGACUCCUACUAUUGAUCGCCCUGUGCGGGAAAGGAAGUCAGUGGAGAGGUUGGUAGCAUCAAUUGAUAAAGAUGCAACCAAAGAAUUUCACAUUGAAAAGGUAUUUGUUUUCAGUUUCAUAUUUGAAAUAUUUACCCUUAAUUAGGCAUUUAUUUUAACUUAAUUUGCUUACAGCUUCUCUUUCAAAUUGUAGGGUCGUGGUACACCUUUAAAAAAUAUACCAAAUGGUAUGGUGCUUUCCUUUUUUGAAUUCUUGUUCAAUAAUGGUGUUUUAAUUCCCUUCUGUGUAUGCUCAAGCCAACAGAAGUUGAUAUAAUGCAUAAUGUACUUACACAAGCAUUCCACAUUCUUCCUGGGUUGAUGACAAAAUCUUGAUAAAAGUGUAUGAAUUGAAUUUAACAUAAAUAUCAGGCAAGAAUUUGCCAGAUAUAUUUUGUUUCUAUACUUUCCCAAUUAUGGUCAAGGAUGUGCCAUUUGUAGAGAUGGUUGAUUGAAGGUUUUCAAAUUAUAGGGUUAUUGUGACGCUUCAAUUCAAUGAUUAUGUGAGCCAAGGACAUAUGCUUAACUACAUCUUUCCCCCCAAAAUAUUGAGCCCCUCACCCUGCAGAUUUUCAAGAGUUGAUGUUCCUUACAACAUUAGCUGUUACUUUGAUAAUGCUGUUUGCAAAAUCUAUUAGCGUAUACUGAUUUGAUUCUCUUGUGAAGUAUAAUCUAUUUAUAAAAUAGUUACUUUUUGCUUUCCUUCUUUUCCUAUUAAAAGGGGAAAAUAUUUAUGUAUAUUUCCUUUUCCCUCUUACUGUAUCUUCAAUGACAAUAAGAAUGACUCAAACUUAGAAAUAUCUGAGCUCCUUCCUUUUUAAUGGCAAAUGAGAUUAUCAGCUAAUUAUAGUUUAUCCAUGUUAUUUAAUGUCAUUUAACUGUUGGGUCUAUGGAAUCUUUAGCACUCAAGAUAAUGGGAGAGUGUUAGCAGUAAUAGGAAAGGUUCCUGUUAUCAAUAUAUAAAUAAACUUGACACGAUAUAUGGGGGAUUUAUUUAUUUUUUGUUCUUAUAUACAUUGAUUACAUUCGUUAUGCUAUGAAACACAAAUGCUCGUUUGUUCUUCAGAACAACUAAAACUUAAUGACUCUUGCAUUUUCUGCUUUAGUGGCAUUUAAGUUAUCUAGAAGGAAGACUGAUGAUACCUUCAAAUUGCUCCAUACAAUUCUCUUUGGAAGGAGAGGGAAGGUAUGUCUUACUUCAUUAACUAUCUGUAUUUUUUGUUACUGUUGUUAUACCACCUCCAUUGACAUUUGUUUUUUUAGUUUUUGUAUUAUGCCACCUCUAUAGUUCAGGAUAUGGGGUAUUGGUUGCCUAGAUUGUUAAAAAGUUAACACUCAACUUACCCAGUGUUAAAAUGUCAUGCUGAUGUUAUUAAGCUUUAUUGUGCUCUUUUUACACUUCUGCAGGCAGUUGAGAUCAAGAGUAAUAUAUUAAGGUUUUCUGGUUUCGUGUGGCGUGACAAUGAGGUAAUUAUAACCUUUAUAUAUAAAGAAAAUUGGUACUCAUAACAUGCAACUAUAUCAUAUGUUACAACCAUAGGGUUUUGUUUAUAGUGAGUUCUUUUACUGAUUUCUUGUUUUUCUGAUUGAAGUCCUUUGUCUGCCAAAGGUUCUAAAGUCCAAAUAUUGUUACUGCAGGAAAAGCAAAUGAUUAAAGUAAAAGAAAAACUUGACAAGUGUAAUAAAGAGAAGUUACUGGAAUUCUGUGAUGUGCUUGACAUAACAAUUAACAAGGCAACAUCGAGGAAGGUGUGUUGGUUAAGCAUUAUUGAUGCGUUUUGACUAAUACCUUUUAACACAGCCCUAUUAUUGCUUAUAGAUUUCUACUCAUGCAGGAAGAUAUUAUUGCUAAGCUUAUAGAUUUUUUAGUUGCCCCUCAUGCAACCACAACUGUGUUACUUGCAGAAAAAGAGAAGGUUUUCUUUAUUCUUUGGUGUUUCCUUUUUUUAUCCUUGUUAAUUGUUAUGGUAAUUUCUUUCUACCUAGGCAACUAUGUUCUGAUCACAAUAUUCAUAUUAUUUAUGCUUUAACUAUUAUCAGCCCAGUAAGGGAACAAAGCGCAAGCGUGUUGUAAAAUGGGGUUCAUCAAGAUCUGGGACAACUUCAAGACGUUCUGUGAAGGUAAUAUCUCUCCUUUAACUGCUGGAAUGUGACAUGUGAUUUAAGCAAAGAACUACAAUUUGUGUUUCAUGUGGUAGAAUAUCAGUCUUGCAUUCCUUUGGAUUAUGCAUGUUUAUUUCACUUUUGCUUGUUUAUGCUCUCUACAUUGCAAGUUUGCAACUCUUGCUAUCACGGAAUUGUUCUUGUCCAAGUGAAUGACUAGUUGUUCUUAUCCCAUGUCAAUAAGGGUGUGUUUGAUUCACUAAAUAGCGGAGAGGACAGCACUAAAAACACUUGUUACAAGUUCUAUUAUUAGCAUGAAAAUAUGAUAAUAUAACUAACUAAUACAUGCUAUAAUACCUCAAGAAUUUUGAUAUUUGUUAUUGUUAUUAGUUAGGCUGAAUUGUAAUUUUGGUUCCCCUAGUUUUCGAAAUCCAUGAUUUUGGUCCCCUUGAUUUUUAUUUGUAACAUUUGGUCCUCCUAGUUUUAUAAGUUUGUGAUUUUGGUCCCCUAAUAGAUUAUUAACUAAUAAUUGUGAUUAUUAGAGAUUUUAAAAUAAUUAUAAAUUAAAUAAAAAUUAUUAAUCAUUAAAAAAACUUUAAUUAAAGACUGUUAACCCUAAUGUGGUGCUACUGCUAGUGGAGUCAUGUGCGGGAGUCAUGUGCGACAGUGGAGUUAGAAGAGGUAUUUGUGGAUAAGAGAAAAGCAGUGUUGUAGAAAAUUAGGAUUAAUAGUUUUUUAUUCAAUCUUUUAAUAAUUAAUGAUUUUGAUUAAUUUAUAAUUAACUUAAUAACUCUAUUAAUCAUAAUUAUUUGUUAAUAAUCUAUCAGGAGGACCAAAAUCACCAAUUUAUAAGACUAGGGGGACCAAAUGUUACAAUUAAAAUCCAGGGAGACCAAAAUCAUGGAUUUGAGAAAUUAGGGGGACCAAAAUCGCAAUUCAGCCUAUUAAUUAUUAAUGUCUCAAUUAUUUUAUAUUUGAUAAUGAUUAUGAAAUCAAAUGAAAAAAUAAGUUAGGCCAUUAUAUUUCAAAUGAAGGCCCAAAAGAGAAGCCCAUGGGUGUCCCCCCACAUAAAAAAAGAGCCACAAGUGUUGCAAAGCAAGCCAUUUUGAUAAAUAAAAUUCAUGGUAUCCUUAUUUCUAAUAACACUUAUAAAAAAAAUAAUAGUAAUUAUCCAGAAUUAGAGAAAAAAAGAAAUAUAUUUGAUAGAAAAUAUUUAGUAACUACAUUUUUUUAAAAUCUAAUAAGUAAAUUUUCAAAAAAAUUAGUAUCAAACUUGAGUUUUGAAGCACUUUCUUUAUUUCCAGAACAUGAACAAGUCAAAAUUAAUUAUGAAGAAGAAAAAAAACAAAUAAUAAAAAUAUUAUUUGAUGCAAUUAGAACUGCAACUAGCUUGAACAUGAAUAACUCCCUUUGGUAUUUUACAAGUAUGCUUACGCGAACCAAUACGUACAUAGGAUUAGAGAGUAAAGUUUCCUGUUCAAAAAGAGAACAGAAGCUGUAGUGGCAUAGAGAGCCAGAGGGGUCAAACCAUUCAUGAGAUCUCAAAGAGAAAAGGGAGAUCGAGUGUUUUGGAGAGGCUGAGACAACUUGGAUUUAGGGAUUCAGGUUCUGAAAUCACUGGUUGUGGAUCAAGUGAGGUCAGCUCAGACCAGAGGACAGAUCAGACCACUAAAUAGGCUGCCAGCAACAGGAAGCUCUGGUCUGGUAGGGAGAUAGGAGGCAGAAUGGUUGGGAGAGUGUUGCACAACCCUGAAGAAAAUCUUGGUCUUUACUUUUGAGUUGCACCACCCGAUCCAAGAGUGGGUCCGAAGCUUGAAUUAGUUUUCUAAUUUGAUGGACCCACAAGCAAUCCUGGUGAUCCUACUCAAAUUCCAGGACUAAGGAUCCUUGGUGUAAACAAACAUGGAAGAAGCUAGAAUCUUGUGGGAUCAUACGAUCUUAUUAGUAGAAUUGUGAUUUUGACAACAUUGGUCUUAGGUCCAAAUCUCUGUUGCUAUGAUGGCCCCCCAAAAAAUAUUUGUAUUGGGAUGAGUUCUUGAUAGUACUACUACUUUAGUACUUAAUUGUUUGUUGGUCAUGUUAGUCUAAUCCCAUAUUAUCCAAAAUAUAGUAUCAACACAACUACACAAGUGAUAUGUGCAGUUUUAGUUUGUUUUAUUGGGAGCUUCUCAUUAGUUAUUUGGUUUGCUCAACAUUUUGGCAUGUAUUUUUCAGAGUCAGAAGAAAAAUGAAGAUUCUACCGUAGUGCGGAGAAAGAGUGCAUCUGACACAGAUGAGUCAGAGGAAGACAAGAAAGAUGAAGAAAACGAGGAAAAUGAAAAUGGUGUUGCUGACAAAUCUGAGGAUGAAACACCAGAGAAAUCUGAAAGUGAAGACAAAAGUGAUUCUGGGAGUGAAUCUGAAGAUAUAAAAGAAAAGAAAAAACAUUCUAAAACAUCAUCCACAAAGAAAGAAUCUGCUAAGAAAAGUAAAAUUGAGAAAAUUGCAGUUCCUAAUAAAUCUCGCUCACCACCAAAAAGAGCACCUAAGAAACCAUCAUUCAACCUCUCAAAGUCUGAUGAGGAUAGUGAUGAAAGUCCAAAGGUAUUUUCAAGGAAGAAGAAAAAUGAGAAAGGAGGAAAGCAAAAGACGUCAACACCGACUAAGUCUGCCUCCGAAGAGAAAACUGGUAGAUAUCUUGAGCUCUCCUUUGUUGUCAUUAUUUCAUUUGAAAAUGUUCUGAUAUGAAUGCCUGCUGUGUUCUAGUAAAAAUAAUUUUUAGCUGAAAUCAAACAUUCAGGUAUUACUAGUCAGCACUUUUGUUUUUCCUUUUUAAUUAGUUUAAAUGCGAAUGUUUUUAAUUGAAAAACUGAUAAUGAUUUUGGUAUUAAUCAUCUUCAUCCCAUGUACAUUAUAAAACAUCUUUCUGUUGUAUCAAGCAGAAAAGGUUACUAGAGGAAAAGGCAAGAAGAAAGAGAAGUCGAGGCCCAGUGAUAAUCAGUUGCGUGAUGCGAUAUGUGAAAUUCUUAAAGAAGUUGACUUCAAUACGGUAAGAUUUUGGAAUAAAUUUUACAUAAUUCAGCAACUAGUUGAAAUUUUAGUUUAAUACAUAGGCACAUAGCUAAAUCUAGUGGAACUGAAUGGAACUGCGAUAAUGUAUAAUGUUAAAUGUUACUAUGUUAGGCAGUAAAAAGUCAACAAAAGAAUAUACUCAAAGUAGUAGAGAUGAGAAUGAUGCAUUGAAUGUGUUGACAUACUAGAUACAAUAGAUAGUCUCUAUGGCCAUGAACCAGACGAGGUCAAUAAUUUAUUCAAUGUUUACUGAAUAUUCUGUCUUAUCUAAAAUUAAAAGCCAUUUUUUCUCUUUUUGCAGGCCACAUUUACCGACAUUCUGAAGAAACUUGGUAUGGAUCUUUUUUACUUUUUUACUCAAAUACAUAAUUAUAGUUAUACCUUUUCUCCGUUGCAAUUAUGAGAGUAAGUGCUACUUUUGUGCCUUUGAGAACAAGUGACUUGUAUUAUCCUCAAAUCUGAAUUACAAUUCACAAGAGGUCUUUCCCUUGAAUGAUCCUAGGAUUUUAAUUUUAAGGAUGUACAGCUUAUGUAGUCUUAUCAUUUACAAAUAUGAACAAUUGUAGGAAUUUGACAAUCGUGAAAAUGAAAAAUAGUAGAUCAUAACUCAAAAUUAAACGCCUAACAAAACUGCUCUUCGUUUUUUCAGCUAAACAAUUUGAUAUGGAUCUCACUCCGAGAAAGGCAUCUAUAAAAUUCAUGAUUCAGGAAGAGCUGACAAAACUAGCUGAUGAAGCAAACGACGACGGAGAAGAGGAUGCUGAGAAAGAUGAAGCCCCAUCUACAGGCCAAGAGGUUGAAGCCUGAUUGAAGAGUAGACUUGACUGCUUGGAGAUAGGUUUAGCUAUGUAUACUAUAACCCUAGUUAUGCAUGCUUCAUCUGUACACUUGUUAAGUGGAAGUGGCUAUAACUUACUCUUAGCAUCCAUCCAAUCUGGAGAGAACAAACUUGUAUUUAUCAAUUUAGGCUUUUGGUGGGCUUCCAAUGUGUAGCUUCUUUUUUAUAUAUCAACAGAAUCUGUAGGGUUUUAUACUGUUCAUGAAUACUACUGACCAAAAACUGCACCAGUCUCAAGAAUCUGUCUCUAGAUUAAUAAACAUUUUACCUUUGAGGUUGCCACCUUUCCGUGCAUAUUGAUAACUACUACCGUUGUUGGUUGAUGAAAGUAAUUAUCUCGGAUGACAAAAGUAUGUGCAGGAGUGAUGAUGAUCCCGUAGCUCUAAUCAAUCCAUGUUAUAUGCUGCUGAGUUACAAUUUCGAAAGUGAACACCAAAUUAGUCCUUGAGCAAUGUCAAAAGUAGGAUACAUUAGUCUAAUACAAAAGCAAACUUUACAUUAGUCUUUAAAAUUUACAAAUAUUUAUCAUAUAUUAAUUUUUUAGAGUUUAAUUUAUAUAUACUAUCCGUUUGGUGCUCCGGAUAUAAUAGAAAUAUAAGAUAAGAUAGAAUAACUAUCAAAUUUUAUUGUAAUUCAUUGUUUAUCGAAUGUGAUAAUAUUAUUCAUCUCUCAUCAUAUUCUAGAAGAGUUGGUUUAGGAAGCAAUAGAAAAAAAUAAUCGCUCUCUCUAUAUAUAUAUAUUGGACAAAAUUAUAAUUUUUAUUAGACAUAUUUAUAUGUUUAUAAUAAUUUUGACAUGUAAAUUUAAAUUAUAUUAUUAAAUCAAAUAUUUAAAAUAAAUAAUUGUUUGUUCAAAUAUUUUUAAAGAAAAAUAUUUGAAUAAUAAUUAUAAUCUUUUAAAAAAGUAACCACAUAAAUAAAAUAUAAUUUAGUCAAAAUUAUGAUUUUUUUAGGUUAAAUGACUUUUUUUUUGUUUCUACCAGUCCUUUAUUUUUGAAAAAGUUCAUCUUGAUCUUUUAUUUUUUUUAAAUGAUUCAUAAUGAUUAUUCCAUUAGUUUAAUGUUAACACCGUUAAUUAAAAUUUAGAUAUUAGUAGUUAAAAACGGCCACAAAAUAUAUUGAUCAUGGUUAUCUUUAAAUUAUCCUUAAAGUCGUAACCCCUUUCUGUUCGUCUUUGGCACCCAAGGUCAACUUCAUUUCAAUGUUGUGCUUUCUCUCUCUAUUUUCCAUUACCUAGUUGGUUCUGAUUCGAUUUUCAACAUCCCAAUUAAGUGUUAUUGUGAUUCUCUCUCUCGUGUGUGUAGUAUCACCAUUUUGUCAUUCAGAAGAUGUUUGUGGAAAUGCUUUCUAGCUAAGUCCUAAAAAUUGGACUUUUUUUCUUCUUAUUUUAAUACAAUCUUUUUUGGGUGCAAAAUACAAUUAAUUUUGUAACACUUGAAUUGGGUUUUGGUUUCAAGCUUCAUGUUUAUCAAAUUUGAAAGCUUUUUGGCUUUUGACAGAAGUUGGAACAUGCAGAACAAAAGGUUGCCAGCAUGUUAGUAAACUUUGGAGGUCUUUAUAAGAAUGGUAAAUUAGUUUUUUUUUUUCACUUUCUUUGUCUUCCUUAUUUUGAAUUAUUUUAAAAAGAUAAAAGACCAAAAUAAAAUUUAAAAAAAAUAAAGAAUCAAAGUAAAUAGAAAAAAAUAAGAACCAAAAAGGUCAUUUGGCCUUUUUUGGUUAACUUUCAUAAUUAAAAGUUAGCUUUUAGAAGACAAAAAUAUGUAAUUUUAACAAAAUAGUAACUUUUGUCAUUUGAACAUAAUUUAAUUAUAUUCUAUAACUAUCUAGUUUGUAAUAUGGUUUACACUAAACAUUUGAUAUGAUUAAAACUUAUCAUAUUCUUAUUAUAUCAAAUUUUUAUCUUCUUCUCAUAUCCUAUUAUAUUUUAUCCACCAAAUGAGUUAUUAAAGUAAAUGUUGUAUACAAACGCCUAAUAAGAUUUUAUCAUUAUAUUAUCAAAUAAGGUUUGACAAUAUAAAUCUUUAAGCACAAAUGCAUUAGUUUUUGAAAAGGUCCAAUAUAAUUCACAUUUGUAAUUUUUAGAUAUGAAGGUUGGACUCUUGUGAAUGAAUUUGGUAGGUGUUCUUACAAGUUGUUUUGUAUAUCUUGUUUAGUUCUAAUUCCAAGUUAGUUUCUUGGUUAAGAUUAGGAUGUCAAAAUGGGUCCCGCUCACACGGGUUGAGAGUUAAAUGGGUCGAGUCAACCUGGGCCGGCCCACCACGGGUUGGUGGGUUAGUUUACCAAAUUAUCAAAAUAAAAAAUAAAGUAAAAACGAAAAUAAAUACGUUUUUUCUCUUUUUUAAAAAAUGACAUUUUUCCAUCAAAAACAUUCAAAUGAUUGAAAUACAAAUACGACUAAUAGGAAAAUGUCUCAAAUAAUCAUUCAAGCAUAUAACAUUAUCGUUAAAGUAAUCAUUCAAAUGUCUCAAAUUCAUAAAUAUCCUUCAAGAGUCUUAAAAUAAUAUACAAUCAUCUAAACAUAAAUCAUAGUUCAACAACAUUAAAGUCCUAAAAUUAAAAAUAUCAAAAUUAUUUUCACUACUUACUCUGUUAUAUUUUUAAGUAGAUUAAGUGGGUUAACCUAGCUUUAACUCGUCUGACCUGCAAGUUAAGUGAGUCAGGUUGAGUUUUAGUCAAUAUUGUGAAACUUUGGAUUUUUUUUUUUUCCUAACACAACCCAAGUCCAUAGUGAGUCAGGUUGGCUCACUGAAUUUAGACUCACUUUGACACUCGUCCCUAGUUAAGAUAUAUGAAGUUGUCCUAGUUUUAUAAUAGUGAUUCUAUAACCAUUGAAGGAGAGAAAGUUACUGAAAUGUUCAGAGAAUUUUGGUAAGUUGAGCACCUCAUGUCCCAUCAUGAGUGAUGUAUGUUGAAGUAGGUGAUCUAACAAGGAUCCUUUGUAUUCUAAAGAUGGUGGAAGUGCUUGUUGGGACUUUCCUAAUUUGGCGGGUUUGUUUCUUGGUCUUCAUUGGUUAUGGAAUUAUCUAAUUAAGUCGUAGCAUGGCAGGUACAAAGUCUUGGAAGUUGUGAGCACCUUGUGUGCAAAGUAGCUUGACUGAGUAGACUAAUUGAGUCAUAUCAUGAAUGAGUACAUAGUCUCAGAACUUGUAAGCACCUUGUGUGAAGUGGCUUGAGUGAGUCAAUCGACUAAGUCAUAUCACGACCGAUUACACUGUCUUAGAAGUCACAAACAUCAUAUGUUCAAAAUGGUUUGAGUGUCAAUCAAUCGAGCAAUAUCAUGGGCGAGUUUAUGUGUUGUGUGGUUGUUGUUUGAAUUGGAGCUUGUAACUAUGGUUAUGAUUAAUGAUUUGGGUGGCUACUUUAGAUGUUUGGUGGCAAUGGUUAUGAUUUGGUUUGACUUGAUCUAAACCUUUGUGAAGAUAACCAUUGAUAUGGAUUGUGUUAUUAUCAUUUUCAAUUGAGUUCACAUCAUUAGAGGAUCCACCUUAGGAGGUGUGGGGCAACAAUUUUCCCCACAAGAUUUUUUGUUUUACUUGAAUAUAUUUUAUAAUUUUUAUUGUUGUCCCCAUAAAAAAAUUAGUAUUUCCCCAUGGAAUAAUGUUGAUUUUUUAAUUAAUGUAAAAUAUUAUAUAAGAUAAAAGAUAAUAAUUUGGUAUUAAAAUUACAACUUACUUUUUAGUUUUUAUUUUAUUUUAUUGACUAUGAAAAAAUAUAUGACAUUUUUAAAAUAUGAAAAUACAUAAAGAACAAUUAUAAUUUGUAUGAGUAGGUAUUUUGGAUUUGUUUUGUCAUGACAUUAUAUAUUUUGUGAGAGCUUGCAAUAUUUUUUUAAAAAAUUAUUUAUUAUUUCUUGCCCACAGUAAAAAGUAAUAAUCAUGGAUCCACCACUAGUUCACACAUACCAUUCUUUGCUUUGUUAGCUUGUUUCUCUUUGUUAUGGAGCGAGCGGUUGGAAAUAUGAAAGUGUUAAAUGGAGUUAGUAGUCAUGUUGAGGUUGGGGGUGUUGAGGAGAUUCCGAUGAGGGUUACCAAUGAUUAAUGACUCUAUAGUAGCGGAGUUGUUGGAGAAGACAUUGUGGUUGGAUGUGGCACUUUGGUAAAUGUUUCAAUGACAAUGGAGUCAAGACUAGAAGUACCAUUUUACCCCAUAAUAGGCCAAUCCAAUGAGUUGGAUUGGUUGGAUGUUAAAUAAAAAGCUCCAUAUACCUCUUGGUCACAUGCAAAAAAAAAAAAAAAAAAAAAGAUUUCAAUGGGACAAAUAAAAGUUAAUGAUACGAGAGCAACUUUGAGAUUACUUUGGGUUGAGCGAAAGAAAUGGAGAAAAGUCUUGUUGUCAGGUAAGAAAAGGAAGUUAAAGGUUUACAAGGAACUAGACAAAAGAUUUGGAGGAAGGAGAAUUUAAUUUAUUAGUCAUUCCUAGGUAGUUGAUGAUGUGAAGAGGAUUUCGUUAGUGCAUGAGUUUGUUAAGAGUUUAACUAUUUUUAAGAAAGGUAGGAAGUUAUGUUAGUUAGAGAUAAAAGAAAUUUAAAGUAUUUACCCUAUAGUGAGAGUGAUCAUGUGGUUAUGAGGCUAUCAAGUCUAAUAGAUAUUGAUUAAAUGUAGGAAUUUAUGUUGGUUAGAGAUAAGAGGAAUUUAAAGUGUUUACCCUAUAGUGAGAGUGAUCAUGUGUUUUUGAGGCUAUCAAGUAUAAUAAAAAGAUUGACUUUGUAUAUGGUUAGGACUACUUGUUUAACCAAUUCGGAGUAAGGGUGUUCUUUUUUUUAUGAUUUUUAUAUUUAAAUAUGUUAGUUAACUAGUUUGAAACAUUUUAUAAAAUGUUACUUCCAACAUUGUUUGAGCUUGUAAUCUCUUAACUUAUUGCUUUUUUCUUUUAACUAUCUUACUAGAAUUUUUUUUAUAUUUUAUAUAUUAAUAAAAAAGUUUAAUGUUCAUACCCUGAUAAUAUAAAAUAGUUUUACACUGUCAUCCAAUCACAAAUCACCAUUCCAAUUAUUUUAAAAUAUUUAUUUUAAAAAUUAAUAAACUUAUCAUUUAUUUGUAAAUAACUGUGUAAAACUUUUUAGCAUAACCUUUUUUCUCUUAAAUAUAACCUUAAAUCUUUCUCUCAUUCUUUCUCCAACCCUCUAGUUUUAUUAUCAAAUAUUAUUUUUACAAUAUAAAAUUAUUAAAAUUAUAAUAUAAAUUCAUUUACAUAUUUGAAUUCAUAAUAAAGUUAAAAAUAAAAUUAAAAAAAUUAAAGUUAUAAUUUUCAAGAAAAGAAACUAUUUAAUAUAAAUUAAAAAAAAUUUCCUUUAAAAAAUAUGUAAAUAACCAAUUUUCAAACUAUAGUCAAAUAUUCAAAUAUAUUUUCAUUUCAUUCUACAUUUAUAAACUACAUAAAAUUUUCUUUUUGGUAGAUCACUAAUUCUAACCUUUUGCAUCAUAUCUUUUUGAUUUACGAUAUUAACACAGUUCCCUCAACGAGCUGGGCUAUACCACUUUGUUACCUGUGCAUCAUAAUUUCAUAAAGAGGAACAGUACUCUUACAUUGGCACAUUCAAUUAUUCAUUACUCACAGAAAAAAAAAUAAAAUCGACCCAGUUAUAAUUAAUAAUUUCAGAUAUGUAAUCUUACAUAUAAUCUAAGAAAUACAACAGGAAAUGCAUGACACAAAGGAAUUUCAAACCACAACCGUUGAUCUUGUACGUACCCCAUCAGAGCCAUUGCACCCGAAUUUCGGAGUCUUACAUGACAAUUUAACUGCAUUUAAAAUCCACAUUUGAAGUCCGAACUUUAAAUUCUCCGAAAUAACCCCACUCACACACUAACAUAGUUACUGACAGUGCCAGAGAGAGAAAGACGUGUGAAGUGUGAGUGAAGAAGCUCUUGAUGUUUUCUCUUGCAACCUCUGAAUCUGUAAGCUUCUUCCCUUCCAAUUUCCCUUCUCACGCGUCGUUUUAGGUUUAGAAGUUUGCAUCUUUAUGUUCUCCGGUUUCAAUUGUUGCAUGGGGUGGGGGAAUUUGGGGUGAGGGAUUUUUAGGGCUUUGAAUGGAAAACAUGAAUUACUCAAGACUUUACUUUGAUUUGAUUGUUUGGGCUAUGGUUGAGAUCAAAGGUUCUCUUUGGGUGUAUUUAAGAAGAAGAAAAAUUGAUUUUUUCAAGCUUUUUCAAUUCUCACCAUGGCUCUGCUGUGCUCUGGGGAGAAUUUUGUUUUUGAAAUUGCAUGAAUAGGGUUACCCUUUUGAUGGGGUGAUGUGAUUUUCUCUGGAAAUGGUGCAAAAUUAAUAAUCAAGGAUUGGUGUUUUUUUUAUGUUAAUUUGUUAUUCGCCCUCCCAUGCUGGAUAGUGUUGGGUAUUAUCAUGUUGGCUUUUUGUUUGUCAUCAACUGCAUUCCUUUUUUGGUUUUACCAGGGGGUCUAAUUUUUGUUUUUUAUGCUUUCGUUGCAAUUAAUUGACAUGGGAUAGAUAUAUUCAUAGUUAUUAUCAAUGUUGGGAUAACAGCGUGUGGCAACCAACCCUGAAAGCACUAUUGUGUGAUGGCUGCUAUUUUAAUUUUUUUAAUACAGAUAUGUAAUCUAUACUAUAUGCAUGAUAUGCAUUUAAUAUUCAAGUUUACUCAAAAUUCGUGACAUAUUCUUAGUUAUCAUUGAAAAGUCAAAAUAUAGGUCAAAAGACAAAUAUACAAGUAACAAAUGAGUGUAGAAAACAGUAAUAGAGCAGACUGAAAACAGCUGGAGAAGAGAAAAAGAAGGCUGCUCAAUUUCAGUAGCGGUAAAACCACCAGAGAAGAGGUGGUCUCUGGAGAAGAGUUAGAGAGAAGAAGGCUUGUGUUUGGCUCCUUCUAGAACAUAAUUGUGGCUGAUUUUUUGUUCUUUUUGGGGUAGGGUUUUUUUUUCUUUUUGGUCUAACCAUUAGGUUGUCAAAUUGUGAUUCAAAUCAUGAAUCGGAAGGCCUAUUUCUUGAAUUGUGAAUUAAAAGAUUAAUUAUCAAUAGUUAAAAACAGUAUAUCCAGCAAUUAAUGAUCAAUAGCUAAAAAGGCGUAAAUCUGAGCAUUUUAACAUGAAAGCAACAAAGAGGAGAGACAACAAGUAUACAAAUACCAAAAUAGAGGCAGGAUAUCACUGACCAGCAAGACCUUAAAUAGUGAUUGCAACCAGCAAUAUCAUAAUAGGCAACAUAGAAUAUUUGAAGCGCAUGUAGCACUGUAGCACAAUAGUGUGUGGCUCACAUUGGGUUUGGAUUGACAGAGAAAGCAUAAAAGAAAAAUAGGGUUUCUUUCUAAAAUAUUUUAUGUGGGUCACAUUGGAGGGUUUGGAUUGGCUGUUUUGCUCCCGUUUGGCACAGUUUUUUCAGAACCGGGUCAUGUAUGACCCUACCCAAUUACAUGUUUUGCCCAUCCUUGAUAAUAGAUAUAGACAGUUAGUUAGUUAGCAGCUGAGUCAUUGUUGACUAAGUAUAACAGUUAGUCAGUUAUACAGACAGGUAGUUAGUUAGACUAACUGUUAUGUAGUUAGAAUUCUCUAUUAUCAAGGGUGUGUAUUCAAUUGUAACUAACCAAUUUCAUAAUACAAUAACAGUUUCUUAGCUUUCAGUUUUAUCUCUUUCUCUCUCACUGAUAUGAAUUUCUUCAUGGUAUCCAGAGCUUCCUAAAGCCUUCAAUGGCAGUUUGAUCCUAAUUUGUUUUUUGCUUCCACCGACAUAUUCUAUUCAGUUUGUUAUUUUUGUUCAUGUGAUUCAAGCGAAUCCACGAUUUUUCAUUCUGUUUGGCGUUCCAAUUACUAUGUCUUCUUCGAUCGAGUUUUAAUCCUGUUCGGAUGCGGUUUUUGGUUUGCGAUUCUGUUUCUUCGUUGAUCACGAUUUCCUUUUGCGUGUUCGUCACACUCCUUUGAUCUCCAUCUUUGAUUGUGCGUGACUUGUGUUUGUGUUCCUUAAUUGCGUUUUUCUCAGAUCACGAUCUCAGCGUUGAAGUGUUGAAGUUUUGCUUCUUGUAAUCUCCAUAUUAGGUUCACAGUUGUGUUUUUCUUGUUUCUGUUAAAUUUCGCAUCCUGCGUUUGCUAUGCCGUCAUUGCCGAUCAAUGCUGUUCCGGUGACUGGGGGUCUAGUCAACUCCUCCUUUGGUGUUGUCAAUAAUUUUGCGUAUUAUGUUACGGCUAAACUUACGGAUGAUAAUUUUUUGCUUUGGAAGCAGCAAAUUGAACCAGUUCUAAAGGUUCAUCAUCUUCAGCGUGUUGUUGUCAGUCUUCUUAUUCCUCCAAAGUAUCUUAUACAAGAAGAUGCAGACAUGAAUAUAGACAGUUAGUUAGUUAGCAUCCUUGAUAAUAGAUAUAGACAGUUAGUUAGUUAGCAGCUGAGUCAUUGUUGACUCAGCAUAACAGUUAGUCAGUUAUACAGACAGGUAGUUAGUUAGACUAACUGUUAUGCAGUUAGAAUUCUCUAUUAUCAAGGAUGUGUAUUCAGUUGUAACUAACUAAUUUCAUAAUACAAUAACAGUUUCUUAGCUUUCAGUUUUAUCUCUUUUUCUCUCACUGAUAUGGAUUUCUUCAUGGUAUCUAGAGCUUCCUAAAGCCUUCAAUGACAGUUUGAUCCUAUUUUUUUUUUUGCUUCUGCCGACAUAUUCUAUUCAGUUCGUUAUUUUUGCUCGUGUGAUUCGAGCGGAUCCACAAUUUUUCGUUCUGUUUGGCGUUCCGAUUACUGUGUCUUCUUCGGUCGAGUUUUAAUCCUGUUUGGAUGCGGUUUUUGGUUUGCGAUUCUGUUUCUUCGUUGACCGUGAUUUUUUUUUGCGUGUUCGUCACACUCCUUUGAUCUCCAUCUUUGAUUGUGCGUGACUUGUGUUUGUGUUCCUUAAUCGCGUUUUUCUCAGAUCAUGAUCUUAGCGUUGAAGUGUUGAAGUUUCUCGUAAUCUCCAUAUUAGGUUCACAGUAUUGUUUUUCUUUUUUCUGUUCGAUUUUGCAUCCUACAUUUGCUAUGUUGUCAUUGCCGAUCAAUGCUGUUCCGAUGACCGGGGGUCUAGUCAACUCCUCCUCUGGUGUUGUCAAUAAUUUUGCGUAUCAUGUUAUGGCUAAACUUACGGAUGAUAAUUUUUUGCUUUGGAAGCAGCAAAUUGAACCUGUUCUAAAGGUUCAUCAUCUUCAGCGUUUUGUUGUCAGUCCUCUUAUUCCUCCAAUGUAUAUUACACAAGAAGAUGCAGACAUGGAUAAAGAAAAUCCAGCUUAUGCAACCUGGGAAUAUCAAGACCAGUCACUGCUUGUUUGGCUUCAGUUGUCCUUAUUUUGAGGCAAUUCUGUUAAAAGUUGUUGGCUGUGUUCAUGCACAUCAAGUAUGGGAAAAGAUACAUACAUAAUCACUUUCAUGCUAAAACAAAAGCAAAAUCUAGAUAUCUUCGCACGGAACUUAGGAAUACCAGAAAAGGGGAAUGCUCCAUAGGUGAAUUUCUCACUCGUAUAAAGACAAUUGUUGAUUCUUUACUAGCCAUUGGACAGCCUGUUUCUGUUCAGGAACAGAUAGAUGUUAUUCUUGAAGGUUUGCCAAGUGAAUAUGGUGGAGGAAAAGAUAGAGUGAAUAUGAUUGAGGAGAUCCAAUCUCUUCCUUUGGCUCAAGAACAGAGGCUUGAAAAGUAAAGAGAAAAUGCUAUUGCUCCUGCACUGAAUUUAACUCGAGCUCAAACAGCAAAGGUAGAGGAUACUGAUUAAGAUUCAGCAUCUCAAGUGCAAUUUACUCAACACAAUGAUGGAGGCAGAUCCUCUAAUUCCAGAGGAAGAGGUGGCAGGUCUGGCUAUGGGUAUAGAGGAGACAGGAAUUAUGGUAACAAUGAUAACAAAAACUAUGGAAAUAACGAGAACAAGGUUUUUGGAAAUGGUGACCACAGGAAUUAUGGAAAUACUGAUAGGUAUAAAAUACAGUGUCAAGUCUGCUACAAGUUUGACCACGAUGCAGCUGAUUGCUAUCACAGGUUUAAUCCAAAUUAUGUAGCUCAGCAGUAUAAUCAGAAUCAGUCGUUGAAUCAGCACAGAAACUACUCUUAUCAGAGGUCUAAUUGUCAGGCUCUGAACAAUAAGUCUCAGUCACAGCAAAAUGCACAAGCUCCUCAGGCGUACUUAGCCAAUGCUAAUCCUACUCAGCAAUCACAGAAUUGGUACAUUAACUAUGGAGCAACUCAUCAUGUCACUGCAUCUCCUCAGAACUUGAUGAAUGAAGUUCCAACCUCGGGCAAUGAGCAAGUUUUCCUUGGCAAUGGUCAAGGUUUGCCUAUUACUGGUUCAACAGUUUUUAAUUCUCCUUUUGCCUCUAAUGUUAAAUUAACUCUAAAUAAUCUUUUGCAUGUCCCUCACAUAACUAAGAACUUAGUUAGUGUGAGUUAGUUUGCCAAAGAUAAUGUCUUUUUUGAGUUUCACUCAUCUCAUUGUGUUGUCAAAUCUCAGGUUGAUGGUUCCAUCCUUCUUAGAGGUGCUCUUAGUCAAGAUGGCCUCUAUGUCUUCUCAAAUCUUCUGAACUCUUCUUUCAAGUUCACUGUUGGAAAGGCUGCUGCCAAUGUUCAUAUGUCUUCCCUUUCAGAUUUGUCUUCUCAUUGUAAUAAUGUCAGUACUAGUGCACUCAAUACUAGUAAUUAUAGUUUAGUUUCCCUUUGGCAUAACAGACUAGGUCAUCCUAGUUCUGCUGUUGUAACUCAUGUUCUUAGGACCUGUAAUAUACCUUGUUCCAAUAAAAUGACAGAAGAAUUGUAUACUGCCUGUUGUAUUGGCAAAUCUCACAGACUUCCUUCUCAUCCUUCUGAUUUUGUCUAUUGUGCUCCUCUUGAGUUAAUAUUCUGUGAUCUAUGGGGACCUGCACCUAUGCUUUCUUCUAUGGGUUUCAAUUAUUAUGUCUCAUUUGUUGAUGCUUAUAGCCGUUACACUUGGAUUUAUUUUUUAAAACAUAAAUCUGAAACUCUUUCUGUGUUCUAACAGUUUAGGAGUCUUGCUGAGUUACAGUUAAACCAGAAAAUUAAAAGUGUUCAAACUGAUUGGGGGGUGGGGGGGUGAGUUUAGAUCUUUUACUCAAUAUUUUAAUCAAUUAGGUAUUCAUCAUAGGUUUAUCUAUCCUCAUACUCACCAUCAAAAUGGUGUAGUGGAAAGAAAACACAGGUACAUUGUUGAAAUGGGUUUAACUCUUUUGUCACAGGCUUCCAUGCCUCUUUCUUAUUGGGAUCAUGCGUUUCAUAUAGCAGUUUAUCUCAUUAAUAGACUUCCUUCUGCCUAUCACAAAAAUACUAUCCCUUAUGAGAUGAUUUUUAACAAAUAUCCUGAUUAUUCUUUUCUAAAAGUGUUUGGGUGUAUGUGCUUUCCUCAUCUAAGGUCCUUUAAUAACCAUAAACUUGAUUUCAGGUCCAGUCCUUGUACUUUUUUGGGGUAUUCACCUCAUCAUAAAAGAUAUAAAUGUCUUGAUUCAAAGGGCAAGAUUUUUCUGUCUCGUGAUGUUAUUUUCAAUGAAUCCAGCUUCCCUUUUUCUGUUGCUAAGGCUCAUGUUUCAUCCCCCCCUUCUAGUGUUCCUUCUCAAUUACUUCCUCUUGGUGUCCUUCCUAUACCUACUGCUCAUCCUAAUCCUCCUUCUCAUUCUAUAGAGUCUAUAGAGUCACUUGGUUCAUUGUCUCAAUCUGUUGAGUUGAAUUCUCCUUAGCUUGUUCCCACUGAACAAGCUGCAUCCUCUACUCCAGUGAAUGAUGAGUCUUCUCACUCUACUGCUUUAUCCUCUCAUCCUCCUUCUCAACCUCCAAAUACACAUCCCAUGCAAACUAGAUCAAAGUUAGGUAUUGUCUGCCCUCGGUUACAUCCUACUUUACUUCUAACUACUGCUGAAUCUACUUCUGUUAAACAUGCUCUCUCAUCUCUUGAGUGGAAGGAAGCUAUGCAGCAAGAGUACAGUACUCUUAUGGCCAAUAACACUUGGUCUCUGGUCCCCUUACCCUCAGGCAGAAAAGCCAUUGGCUGCAAGUGGGCUUUCAGGGUAAAACAGAAUCCUGGUGGCUCUAUCUUGAAGUAUAAAGCUUGGUUGGUGGCCAAGGGGUUUAAUCAAAUUCCCGGUCAGGAUUAUUCAGAAACUUUUUCACCUGUUGUGAAACCUGUCACAAUCAGAAUCAAGCUGACUAUAGCUCUUACUCAUCACUGGUCUAUCCUGCAAAUUGAUGUGAACAAUGCUUUUUCUUAAUGAGUAUUUGGAAGAAGAGGUCUACAUGACACAGCCACCUGGGUUUGCUGGUUCUGAUAAAAGUAUGGUCUGCAAACUCAAGAAAGCUAUCUAUGGCUUAAAACAGGCACCUAGGGCCUGGUAUGAAAGGUUAAGCAAAACACUUCUGAUUUUUGGCUUUGUUCAAAGCAAGUGUGAUCCAUCCCUUCUAGUGUUCAAAACUGUUUUUGACUGCCUUUAUCUGUUGAUAUAUGUUGAUGAUAUUACCAUCACAGGGUCAUCUUCUGUUCUUAUUCAAAAAUUAAUUACCAAACUACAUGCUGUCUUUGCCCUUAAACAACUAGGUAAUUUGGAUUAUUUUCUGGGUAUUGAAGUAAAACAUUUGAGUAAUGGUUCUUUGUUGUUAUCUCAAGCUAAAUACAUUCGUGAUCUACUUGAAAAGCUAAGAUGGUUGGAUGCCAAACCUAUCCUCACUGCUCUGCCCUCUGAUCUUAAGUUAACUAAACAUGGCACAACCAAGAUUGUUUUAGUCCCUGUUGCUGAUGCUAUUCUCUAUCGGUCAAUUUUUGGGGCACUUUAGUACAUCACUGUAACUAGGUCAGAACUAAGUUACAGUGUAAACAAGGUCUGUCAGUUUAUGUCAGAACCCAUGGAGGAACAUUGGAAGGCUGCCAUGCGUAUUUUAAGGUAUCUGAAGUUUACUAUAGACUAUGGGUUGUCUUUAAAAUCUGCUCCUCAAGGAGAACCUAUACUUUAGAAGCUUUUUGUGAUUCUGAUUGGCGAAUGGAUAUGGUUGACAGAAGAUCAAUUUCAGGGGGCUGUAUUUUCUUUGGUCCUAAUCCUGUUUCUUGGUGGUCAAAGAAGCAAACUUCUGUUGCUCGAUCAACGAUAGUAGCUGAAUAUCGAAGCCUGACUGUUACUGCAUCAGAACUUCUAUGUUCAAUCCUUACUAAGAGAACUCUAUUAAAAUCACUACUCCAGCUGUCUACUGUGAUAAUCUCAGCACUGUUGCCUUGAGUCAUAAUCCUGUUCUUCAUUCAAGGACAAAACACAUGGAACUAGACAUAUUUUAUGUGAGAGAAAAAGUUUUGGAUAAAUUCCUGCUGGUGUGUCAUGUGCCUGCCUAUGCUCAACUAGCUGAUGUGUUGACAAAGCCUCUUGCCAAGCAAUCUUUUCUGGAUUUGAGGUCCAAACUCAGAGUGCUUUAUUUCACUGCGUUUCAGAGCACUCUGUGUUUGAGGGGUGAAUAACAGAUAUAGACAGUUAGUUAGUUAGCAGCUGAGUCAUUAUUGACUCAGCAUAACAGUUAAUCAGUUAUACAGACAGUUAGUUAGUUAGCAGCGGAGUCAUUCCAGAAUCAGCAUAAUAGUUAGUUAGUUAGACUAACUGUUAUGUAGUUAGAAUUCUCUAUAAAUACACUGUUGUGUAUUCUGUUGUAACUAACCAAUUUCAUAAUACAGUAACAGUUUCUUAGCUUUCAGUUUUAUCACUUUCUCUCUCACUGAUAUGGAUUUCUUCACUUGAACAGAAUCUUGCGAUACAGAAAAUUGUUGUGAUCCAAGUCAUUUGAUUCAGGUGAUUCAAGGUGGGACUCAGCACCCAAAACAAUUCCCGUACCCAUCUAUAUUGCUGAAUAUGAGAAUCACGUUGAAUCACACGUAUUGUAUUUGUAUCACGUUUUUUGUGAAUCUAUUGACGCUGUUAACCAAGGGUAAAGUCUCAUUUUUAGCACUCAAAAAGUGUCAAAAGAUGCUGGAGCAGGGGCAAAAUGGGCUUUUUUGAAACCCAUCAUCACCAUGGUGCCAGGGUUUUAAAUAGCGUGCUAUAGUACCUUAUCAAUGUGGAGCACCCCCUACCUGCCAUAGGGGAGGCCAUAGUGGACCAUAUAGCAGGUUGAAUAGCAGACAUAGCAGCGCUAUGUGUUUAUUCAAAAAACCUCUGAUGGAGACAUUAGGGCUUUUGUGGGGCUAUUUUUGGGAUUUCAAUAUCCAAAAAUAAAAUCUACAGCUGUAAUAGUGGUGAAAAUGAUAAAGAAAACUUGGAUUUGGAAGAUGAUGAUGAAUCCUAUCUAGGAAACUUGUAUUUGACUUUUGUUGAUAUUUACUUGUAUGAUUUGUUUAAGACGCAUGACUUUUUAUUUUUAACAUGAAUGUCAUUAAUUUUGAGUAAUUUUUACCAUUUAUGAGAAUUUAUAUAUACUAUACAUUAUGUAAACUAUGUAAAAAAUUUAAAAAUUGUGGCUAUGCCACUAGAGCAUUUUUUAAGCCAGCCGUUAUUCACUGCUAUCCAGGAUUUAAAACAUUGCAUUGUGCUAUAGCAUGCAGCCUGCAACUCAUCCACGACCAUGACCAUGAGAACUCCCCUUGACGGCUGCUUUGUAGAGUCCAACUGCUGCUGUGCUGCUAUAGCAUCCUAUCAAUAACCUUGGGUUCAAUUUUAAAAUAUUUGCCUUCUCAGAAUGCCCUUCCAUUGUAGCUAGUUUUUAUCGUUUAUUUUCCCCUCUUUAUUUGCACUUUGCUGUUUGAGUGUUUGUCAUGCCUAUACUAAAUGAUGUGUUUUUUUAAUUUUCCAGGUAGGCUUCAGUUGUGCUAUUUAACAGUGUAGGGCACUGCGUGUUUACGAAAUAAUAAGUUUGUAUAAUUACUGUAAUUAAUAUCAGUAUGGGUGAGGAAGAACCAGCGAAUGAAGUUUCCAAGACUGAUUCAAAUGGAAAGAGCUUGCAGGAGAAAACUUUGGAUGAAACUACUGAGAAAAAGGACUUGGAAACUGAUGGAGGAAAAGUCUUGGAGAACAAUGGAAUCAAAGAGAAUAUUGUAAAAGAAAUUGAAGAUAAGAAAGCUGAUGGUGUGGAAAAGGUAGAAGAGGACAAGAAAAUUGUUGUUGUGAAAGAAGCAAAAGAGGAUAAGAAAGAAGAUGGGGUGAAAGAAGCUAAAGAGGAUAAGAUAGAAGAAGGGGUGGAAGAAGUAAAAAAGGAUAACAAAGAAGAUGGAGUGGAAGAAGCAAAAGAGGAUACGAAAGAAUAUGGGGUUGAAGAAGUAAAGGAGGAUAAAAAAGAUGGGGUGGAAGCAGUAAAUGAGGAUAAGAAACAAGAUAGGGUGGAAGAAGUAGAAGAGGAUAAGGAAGUUGAUGGUGUGAAAGAAGUCAUAGAGGAUAAGGAAGUUGAUGAUGUGAAAGAAGUCAAGGAGGAUAAGGAAAUUGAUGGUGUGAAAGAAGUAGUAGAAGAUAAAAAAGGUGAUGAGUUGAAAGAAAUAGAAGAGGAUAAGAAAGAUGAUCAUAUAUCUGAGACUGAUAAAAUGGAUGAAGACACCAAGGUUAAGGAAACAAUUGAAGGUAAACAAGAAAAUGAAAAAG
rnacentral:lncRNA from 1 species